CGAGGGGAGUGAAAAAGAACCUGAAACCGUGUACGUACAAGCAGUGGGAGCACCCUUCGGGGUGUGACUGCGUACCUUUUGUAUAAUGGGUCAGCGACUUAUAUUCUGUAGCAAGGUUAACCGUAUAGGGGAGCCGGAGGGAAACCGAGUCUUAACCGGGCGUUAAGUUGCAGGGUAUAGACCCGAAACCCGGUGAUCUAGCCAUGGGCAGGUUGAAGGUUGGGUAACACUAACUGGAGGACCGAACCGACUAAUGUUGAAAAAUUAGCGGAUGACCUGUGGCUGGGGGUGAAAGGCCAAUCAAACCGGGAGAUAGCUGGUUCUCCCCGAAAGCUAUUUAGGUAGCGCCUCGUGAAUUCAUCUCCGGGGGUAGAGCACUGUUUCGGCUAGGGGGCCAUCCCGGCUUACCAACCCGAUGCAAACUGCGAAUACCGGAGAAUGUUAUCACGGGAGACACACGGCGGGUGCUAACGUCCGUCGUGAAGAGGGAAACAACCCAGACCGCCAGCUAAGGUCCCAAAGUCAUGGUUAAGUGGGAAACGAUGUGGGAAGGCCCAGACAGCCAGGAUGUUGGCUUAGAAGCAGCCAUCAUUUAAAGAAAGCGUAAUAGCUCACUGGUCGAGUCGGCCUGCGCGGAAGAUGUAACGGGGCUAAACCAUGCACCGAAGCUGCGGCAGCGAACGUAUCACCCAAGACAACUUUACGGAGUUGACGAUUGACGGAGCGAAGCGACGUCAAAGCGUUCAUUAAAGUCGAGUUGGCUUAGGGAUACGUUCGUUGGGUAGGGGAGCGUUCUGUAAGCCUGUGAAGGUGUGUCGUGAGGCAUGCUGGAGGUAUCAGAAGUGCGAAUGCUGACAUAAGUAACGAUAAAGCGGGUGAAAAGCCCGCUCGCCGGAAGACCAAGGGUUCCUGUCCAACGUUAAUCGGGGCAGGGUGAGUCGACCCCUAAGGCGAGGCCGAAAGGCGUAGUCGAUGGGAAACGGGUUAAUAUUCCCGUACUUGGUGUUACUGCGAAGGGGGGACGGAGAAGGCUAUGUUGGCCGGGCGACGGUUGUCCCGGUUUAAGCGUGUAGGUGUGUGUUCCAGGUAAAUCCGGUUCACUUUAACACUGAGGCGUGACGACGAGGCACUACGGUGCUGAAGCAACAAAUGCCCUGCUUCCAGGAAAAGCCUCUAAGCAUCAGGUAACACGAAAUCGUACCCCAAACCGACACAGGUGGUCAGGUAGAGAAUACCAAGGCGCUUGAGAGAACUCGGGUGAAGGAACUAGGCAAAAUGGUGCCGUAACUUCGGGAGAAGGCACGCUGACACGUAGGUGAAGUGAUUUACUCAUGGAGCUGAAGUCAGUCGAAGAUACCAGCUGGCUGCAACUGUUUAUUAAAAACACAGCACUGUGCAAACACGAAAGUGGACGUAUACGGUGUGACGCCUGCCCGGUGCCGGAAGGUUAAUUGAUGGGGUCAGCG
rnacentral:rRNA from 1 species